GACGAACGCUGGCGGCGUGCUUAACACAUGCAAGUCGAACGGAAAGGCCUGCUUUCCCUUGUGGAUUGCGGGUACUCGAGUGGCGAACGGGUGAGUAACACGUGAGUGAUCUGCCCCCAACUUGGGUAUAAGCCUGGGAAACUGGGUCUAAUUCCCGAUAGGACUGCAGGGUGGUGCCUGUGGUGGAAAACGAUUUUCUAGUGGUUGGGGAUGAGCUCGCGGCCUAUCAGCUUGUUGGUGGGGUAAUGGCCUACCAAGGCGGCGACGGGUAGCCGGCCUGAGAGGGUGGACGGCCACAUUGGGACUGGGUUACGGCCCAGACUCCUACGGGAGGCAGCAGUGGGGACUAUUGCACAAUGGGCGGAAGCCUGAUGCAGCGACGCCGCGUGGGGGAUGACGGCCUUCGGGUUGUAAACUCCUUUCGACCGCGAGGAAGCCACCUGGUUGGAAGGGUGGUGACGGUAGUGGUAGAAGAAGCACCGGCUAACUACGUG
rnacentral:rRNA from 1 species